AACGGAUAAGUAAAUUGAAAUCACAACUUAUGAAAUCACAACCGAAGGUAAUCAAUUCAUAUUACAAAUAUAUUCAUGGUUUUGAAUUAACCUCUAGCCAAAAUAAAAUUUAAUUACACAUUAUUAAAACAGAAAUAAAAUAGAAGUUUGGAAAGAUUUAACCGAGAGCGAGAGUGUUUCUGCUUCCUGUGCGCUGACCUCCUUCGUUCUGCCUUCUUCCUGACCUCCACGUCAGCUCCUGGCUCCCACGCUGCUCUGACUUCUCCUCUCGUCUCACCCAGUCCGAGUCCUCCUCGGUUUUCUGCUGCAGCAAGGCAGCUGUCUGCUCCUCUUUCCUCUCCGCAGCUUCACGCUGCCCAAAGGGCAGCCCUCUGCCUUCCACCAA
rnacentral:lncRNA from 1 species